rnacentral:rRNA from 1 species
UACGAAGGGGGCUAGCGUUGUUCGGAAUUACUGGGCGUAAAGCGCACGUAGGCGGAUUGUUAAGUUAGGGGGUGAAAUCCCAGGGCUCAACCCUGGAACUGCCUUUAAUACUGGCAAUCUCGAGUCCGAGAGAGGUGAGUGGAAUUCCGAGUGUAGAGGUGAAAUUCGUAGAUAUUCGCAAGAACACCAGUGGCGAAGGCGGCUCACUGGCCCGAUACUGACGCUGAGGCACGAAAGCGUGGGGAGCAAACAGG